ACUUGGAGUGAUGAAAGCUUCACCUUAGGUGGAUGCAACAUGCCGUUUUGGUUGUUACUGCAUCUGCCAAUGCUGGGGUUUGUCAUAGUUACACUGACCACGU
ensembl:snoRNA